rnacentral:ncRNA from 1 species
GCUGAACCAGGGCAAACCCACCGAAAGGUGGCGACGCAAAGUUUCCGGUCUACCGGGUGCCCAGCGCCCCACGACAGCGGGGCCGCCGCG